UCAACGAAAAACCAAUAUAUAAAGAUAAGUGGAUUGGGACAAGAAUAGAAGAGAGGAUUGAAUUGAAGAGAAGUUAAGAGAAAAGAGAAAAUGGAGAAGAAAGUGGCUGCAGUUUUGAUGAUAGUAUGUUUGAUUUUUGGCGGGCUGGAGAGCGUGGAGCCUUCCGCUGCGGAUUGCUUGGACGCUUGCACCACAGCUUGUGUCAAUCCAAACGAAAGACUUAGGCAACGCUGUGAGAUCAAGUGUCGGAUUAAAUGCGAUUCUGCUGGAAACAAAGCAGAAAGUGGUACCUUUCUUAUGUCAGUGGAGUGUUGUUGCUUUCAUGAUCAAUUCAUUGAGUCAAAAACAAAAUGAAAAUGAAUAAAAUUUCGCGACCCAUGUAUAAACAGUAGAGGCAUGUAUACAAAUUUAAGAUUAAGAAAAACAGAAGAAAUACCUAUUAUCUUGUUAAGCAUAUGAAAUUAGAAGAAAGACGGCAGGCGAAACUAGAAGAACGGUUAAAUGAGAGCAUGUAGAAAGUGAGUUGAAGAGAUGGCGAUGGAGGAAGGAACUAAGAAAAUGGGUGUGGGUUAAACAAAAUGUGUGGACUGUGAAGGAAGAUGUGAUGGAGUUUAAGUGUUUCUUAAUUUCUUUAGACCAAAACGAUGUAUUUUCGCGGUUUAAGUUUUUAAUUUUUAUAUUUAAUAUUUCUUAUAUUGUAUUUUGUAUAUCUAAUAAUGUAAAUUAUUUUAUAAAUUAAAUAAUUAUUAUAUCUUUCGAUUGUCGGUCAAGUCAUUAGCAACUCAAAUAAAUUAAAUAGUU